UACGUAGGGUGCAAGCGUUGUCCGGAAUUACUGGGCGUAAAGCGUGCGCAGGCGGUUCGCUAAGACCGAUGUGAAAUCCCCGGGCUUAACCUGGGAACUGCAUUGGUGACUGGCGGGCUAGAGUAUGGCAGAGGGGGGUAGGAAUUCCACGUGUAGCAGUGAAAUGCGUAGAGAUGUGGAGGAAUACCGAUGGCGAAGGCAGCCCCCUGGGCCAAUACUGACGCUCAUGCACGAAAGCGUGGGGAGCAAACAGG
rnacentral:rRNA from 1 species